AAGCUGCAGCCAGUAGGUUCUCAAGCUCUUCUAGAGAGGAAUACAAGCAAAAUGAGAGCCUGCAUUCACUGAUGUCUCCUAAACAUUGCUUCAAAGACUCACAUAAGGAGUCUUUUUCCAGUGAGCUGAGUAAUGGUCCUGGUAUCACGGAAAGUCCCAGUCCCACCAGACCUGAAAAAGCAUCCCACGUUACAGCUGUUCUACAGCAACUCCUGGAGUUAGUAGAUUGUCACUGGGACGGAUCUGGAUCUCUUCUGUUUAACAAGGAUUUUCUUGUUCCAGCCCAAAACCUACUUUUGCAUCUGGUGGCUUGUGCUACUUCACCGCAUACUGUUCAUCUACCAGCUGGACACAACUCCUCAGCCUUAGCUAGAAAUGAUUGCAAAGUUCAGAGGACCCAGCUGAAAUACACUGAGCAAUUUGACAGAACAAAUACUGCUACGCAGCCAGUUAAAGGACUGGAGGACAGCCAAAUGUCAGCUUCCAAGUCACAAGACAUGGACCAGACUGCU